rnacentral:rRNA from 1 species
GCGUGAUGACGAGGCACUACGGUGCUGAAGCAACAAAUGCCCUGCUUCCAGGAAAAGCCUCUAAGCAUCAGGUAACAUCAAAUCGUACCCCAAACCGACACAGGUGGUCAGGUAGAGAAUACCAAGGCGCUUGAGAGAACUCGGGUGAAGGAACUAGGCAAAAUGGUGCCGUAACUUCGGGAGAAGGCACGCUGAUAUGUAGGUGAAGUCCCUCGCGGAUGGAGCUGAAAUCAGUCGAAGAUACCAGCUGGCUGCAACUGUUUAUUAAAAACACAGCACUGUGCAAACACGAAAGUGGACGUAUACGGUGUGACGCCUGCCCGGUGC